AUACGUAGGGGGCGAGCGUUGUCCGGAAUGAUUGGGCGUAAAGGGCGCGUAGGCGGCGCGGUAAGUCUGGAGUGAAAGUCCUGCAUUCAAUGUGGGAAUCGCUUUGGAGACUGUCUGGCUUGAGUGCGGAAGAGGUAAGUGGAAUUCCCAGUGUAGCGGUGAAAUGCGUAGAGAUUGGGAGGAACACCAGUGGCGAAGGCGACUUACUGGGCCGUAACUGACGCUGAGGCGCGAAAGCGUGGGGAGCGAACAGGAUUAGAUACCCUGGUAGUCCACGCGGUAAACGAUGAAUGCUAGGUGUAGGGGGUAUCGACCCCUCCUGUGCCGGAGUGAACACAAUAAGCAUUCCGCCUGGGGAGUACGGCCGCAAGGUUGAAACUCAAAGGAAUUGACGGG
rnacentral:rRNA from 1 species